GAUGAACGCUGGCGGCGUGCCUAACACAUGCAAGUCGAGCGAACCCUUCGGGGUGAGCGGCGGACGGGUGAGUAACGCGUGGGUAACCUGCCCUAUACACACGGAUAACGUACCGAAAGGUACGCUAAUACGGGAUAAAAUUGUUGGAUGGCAUCUUCUAACAAUCAAAGCUCCGGCGGUAUAGGAUGGACCCGCGUCUGAUUAGCUAGUUGGUGAGGUAAUGGCUCACCAAGGCGACGAUCAGUAGCCGACCUGAGAGGGUGAUCGGCCACACCGGAACUGAGACACGGUCCAGACUCCUACGGGAGGCAGCAGUGGGGAAUAUUGCACAAUGGGCGAAAGCCUGAUGCAGCAACGCCGCGUGAGCGAUGAAGGUCUUCGGAUCGUAAAGCUCUGUCCUCAAGGAAGAUAAUGACGGUACUUGAGGAGGAAGCCCCGGCUAACUACGUGCCAGCCGCCGCUGUAA
rnacentral:rRNA from 1 species